ACCAGGAUAAAAAACUCCUUGAGAUUAAAAACCUCUUUUCCUAGAGUGUCCUGGUGUUCUGACCCAGAGAAGUCUACUGAGCUUUUCUCUCUCUGCUUUCAGAAGCCACAGACCAUGGAUCAAGUCAACAUGACAAGGGCAACGGUGGCGUCGCAGCGACGCAGAAGGAGAAGGUGAAGGCCAAAGAUGAGACGUACUGGAAGGAGAUCAACGCCGCCAUGGCCUUGACCAACUUGGCUCAGGGGAAGGACAGCGUCUCCGGGACAACCAGCUGCAUCAUCCAGAAGUCCUCCCAUAUAGCCGAGGUGAAGACUGUUAAAAAACCUUCAGCUGCUGCUGCUGAAGUUUUAGCUCUGACGUUAUCUGUCUACGCAAAGCAGCAAACGUUCCUCUCUCAGCAAACAGAGGCCAAAUAAACUCGCCCUGACAGAGGAACAACUUGUGCUGGAGGAGAAGAAAGGUGUUUCAAGUUGAAAAACGUCAGUAUUUGCUCUUAUUGAAAAUGUCUAUACGAUUUCUUGACCAUCCUUUUCUUAAAAUUAGAAACUUUUGUAAUGUUAUUUUUUUAUUACUCUUUUUUUAUUUCUAUUUUUACUGGUACAAAUUUUGUAUUCUCCACAGUGCCUUUGUUUGUUUUAGCAGAUCAGCUCUCUGAUUGUCCAGAUCUACAACAAAAGUCAGCAACAGUGAAGCUUCACUGUAACCUUGACUUUGCUCCUUAGACCAGGUGUUUAUAUGAACCACUAUAGCCUUAAGCAUAUAUGAUUGUUGCCUGGAUGUGUCAACUGGUUCUGUUUUGGAUCAAAACAGUUUUUUUUUUUUCCCUCAUUCAUCCAGGUUCUGUUCAUGUGGGUCAUAAUGGACAUAAGUUCAGAAGUAUCGCCGUCUUAUAUUUUCUGACACUCAAACUGUUGUGACCUCGAGAAAGAACUGAGUUGCACCGUUUCACAGUUUCUGGUGUUGGAUGUUUCAAAGAGUUCCUGGUUGGGAAUGUAUUUAACGAAAUGAUGAAGGAAAGUCAAAUUAAUGAGAGACAAAGUUACAUUACUUCAUCUGGUGGGAUAAUAGAAGAACCACAAUCUGUCUGUAAUAUUUUACAGCCAGUCAACAGAACCUUGUUAGAGUCGACAGUACAGUAAAUAAGUCAGGGAGGAGGUGAAAUGAGGACAAACAGUGAAGCUCAUUCCAAUCAUUUUGUAAAUUAAAAGGUUCUGCAUCAAUGAAAUGAAGUCAUCCUCUGUGAUCCUGAACAGAACUGAUGCUUUAACAGGGAGAACCUUGUUCCCCUGACAACAGAGGAGUCAUUAUGCAUGUUGUUGCAUCACGCAGUAUAUCAGGACAAAAAGGGAUGAAACAGAAACAAGAUGACUUUGUUGUAUUUAUAUCAAAGCAAUGGAAGUGGUAACCACCAGUUUUUAUUAUUUACUAAUAUAUUUGCUUAUUCAGGUGAAGACUGGAUGUUCAAUCCAAUGACCAUGUAUGUAUCUCCUUGAGUUCUCAGAUUUGUUCUCAUGUAAAAUUUAUUUUAUACAUUGGUUUGUAAAAACAAUGAAUAAACCUCUGAAUGGAA